CUAUCUGCAAUUUGAAGACGGUGAUCUCAUCAGUGGUGUAAACAUACAAAACUUGUCCUAAGUUCCUAACAUUAUAUAAGAAGGCUUUGUGCCUGAGAUGGUGAGGAUUCAAUGAGGAAGGAAUCAAUAUUUAGGAGUACACAAUCACAAGGUAUUAGUUUCAAGAAUACACAAUCACUAGGUAGUCAUGGCUGAUCUAAAGUGGUUGAGCAAGGUGCAUUCUCCGUACUCUAUAGCAACGUGAAACUUAUUACAAAGAAGACUGAACUUUUUGUUCAGUAAGGAUUGCCUCACCUGGUUCAGUACCUUGUGGAUCAUCUGAAGGUGCUGCUGGGCUCUUUAUAGGUGCCAUGACUUGAUCAGUCGAGGGUGGUAUUGGUGGCUCGAUUUUUCCUAAGGAAUCAUAAGGUAUAUUCUGGGUGGAAGCAAGGCCUUGUGGAGCCUGAAUGGUUGGUACUUGAGUUGCCACAGGAGGUUGUGCCUCUUGAUUCUGUAUAGAACUUGUCGCUGCCACAUCACCACUGAUUGGUGUCGAAUCAGGCCCAGUGUUUGAAGUUUGUGCUUGGCUAGGCGGAAGUGUCGUCUUCCUAUCAACACCAGCACUAUGCACAUCAGGAGUAGGUUCUUCACGUGGUUCAGAAGCACGUCCAGCAUGAGUGUGGGCUUGUUCUUGGUUGACAAUAAGUGGGUUCGCUAAAGUGCUUCCAUGAUAAUCAUCAUGAGAGGAUUCCUGAUCCUUACGUAAAGCUUCUCUAGCAUCUGGUGUCAGCCUUGUGACUUGAUGGUCAAAAAUUGUCUCUGGUACAUUCGUUUGAUCAGCGGUGGCAGCAUUUGUCUCUUCUUUCCUUGGUUCAGUAGAGGAAGGUGGUUCUGAAGUAUGAGCUGAUUCUUGACCUGAAAUGAAAUAAAUGUGGCAGUAAUAUUUCUUUUGUGUAA